GUGGGGACAUAAUGGCAGACAACGGUCAUUUAAUUGUUUGAUCAAAAUUAUUGCUAGGGACAAUUUAGUAGUCGCUGGAUAUUGGUAGGGACAUAUCACGUUGUCCCUACUAAAUUCUACGUCCUUAAAUAUCAUAACAAUCAAUGUCAGACUUUGGAAACUAUCCAAAGUUCUGUUAAUCCUAAAACAGUGAAAACUUCAUCUCUAUUAAUCCUAUGUGUCCUCAUUAUGUAAAGAGAGAAGAAGAGGAAGAAGAAGAAGAAAAAAAAAACAUUACUAUAGUUAAACCAUGGUAACCACAAAUUAACCGUUAUUUUGCUACACUAACCAUAAGAAAGGUAUUUGUAGUAAAACUGUGGUUAUAAAAAAUGGUUAGCCUACUGCACUUUAAAUAAAACCAAAGUUUUCUUUCUUUCUUUCUUUCUUUUAUUUUAAUAAUAAUAAUUAUAAUUCAGAAAAAAAGAAAGACUGAAUCAAAUGAUCCGCACUGAGGUCCCGAUCUGAUUCAAAUGAUUCGCGAUCCGUGCGAUUCGCGAGCCAUAAUUUCAGAUCGGGACGUACGCGGUUCGCGAAUCAUUCACUCAAUUGAAUCGACAAGAAGUACAUGCUUCCACUUGCUGCUGUCCUGAAUGAAGGUCAAACUUGUUACCCAAGUUCUUCCAUGAUCAGAGUCUGGGCCGCUGGAGGAUGAAGUUAUGAGCCGAUAUAUCUGGAAGCAGUGGUGCAGACCUCGGAAUGGACCCAUGGAACAGCUAAAGCCCAGUUCCCCCUCCUGCCGCAGGAGUCUUUGUGGAGCCCGUCAGUCAGGUCAUCAGAGAGACAUUCAGCACAGACACGGAGCAGAAGAUUUAUAGCUGUGAGGUGAGAGCAGAUCAUGGGCUGCUUGAGCAAAGAGGAACAAGAAAACCAGAAAGCACCUACUGAGAAGUACUCAAAGAGAUUUAAUAAACAGAAGUAAAACACUGAACUGAAAUACUGUGAAAUACUGUGCACAAAGUUAAAGAAAGUUCAUAAAUUUGGUCCCUUCAUACUUUGGGACAUAUGCCAAAGAACAUAAUCUAAAGCUGAUUUUAUAUCGAUAUGUACUGUAGGGUGGGCUACAUUUUUAUGUUCACUCAGGAUUCACUCAUCAGCAUUUGGAAACCAUGACUUUUCUCUGACUGGUGUGGUGAGCAAGUAAUUUUUUUGUGUGUGGAUUCCUUUUGUGUCACGUUGCAUGAGAGCAUAAAUGAACAAAACAGAAAUAAAAUAUGGAAUCGUCUUGAUUUCAGAGCUACACGUGCCCGGAUGUCCACCUCACCAGCACCACAUUUCCUCCACUCCCAUACAUGACAGUCAAAAAUCUUUCCUGUGUUGAGAAAAAAAAAGGCUCUCUUGCUCAAUUUGUGCCAACUGCUCAUUAGAUCGAGUACCAGGACCGUGAGGUGUUAGAUGAAUCGC
rnacentral:lncRNA from 1 species